rnacentral:rRNA from 1 species
UACGAAGGGGGGCUAGCGUUGCUCGGAAUCACUGGGCGUAAAGCGCACGUAGGCGGGUCCUUAAGUCAGGGGUGAAAUCCCGGAGCUCAACUCCGGAACUGCCUUUGAUACUGGGGAUCUUGAGUCCGGAAGAGGUGAGUGGAACUCCGAGUGUAGAGGUGAAAUUCGUAGAUAUUCGGAAGAACACCAGUGGCGAAAGGCGGCUCACUGGUCCGGUACUGACGCUGAUGCGCGAAAGCUAGGGGAGCAAACGGG